rnacentral:rRNA from 1 species
UACGUAGGGACCGAGCGUUGUCCGGAAUCAUUGGGCGUAAAGAGCGUGUAGGCGGCUAUUUAAGUCCUGCGUGAAAUCCUGCGGCUCAACCGCAGACGGUCGUGGGAAACUGGAUGGCUAGAGUGCGGGAGAGGAGAGUGGAAUUCCCGGUGUAGCGGUGAAAUGCGUAGAUAUCAAGUGGAACACCAGUGGCGAAGGCGAGUCUCUGGACAUUUCCUGACGCUGAGGCACGAAAGCCAGGGGAGCAAACGGG